GAAGGGUGCAAGCGUUACUCGGAAUUACUGGGCGUAAAGCGUGACGUAGGUGGUUUGUUAAGUCUGAUGUGAAAGCCCUGGGCUCAACCUGGGAAUGGCAUUGGAAACUGGCUUGACUAGUAGUGCGGUAGAGGGUAGUGGAAUUCCCGGUGUAGCAGUGAAAUUGCGUAGAUAUCGGGAGGAACAUCUGUGGCGAAGGCGACUACCUGGACCAGCACUGACACUGAGGCACGAAAGCGUUGGGGAGCAAACAGGAUUAGAUACCCUGGUAGUCCACGCCCUAAACGAUGCGAACUGGAUGUUGGGAGCAACUUGGCUCUCAGUAUCGAAGCUAACGCGUUAAGUUCGCCGCCUGGGAAGUACGGUCGCAAGACUG
rnacentral:rRNA from 1 species